rnacentral:rRNA from 1 species
UACGGGGGGGACAAGCGUUGUUCGGAUUUAUUGGGCGUAAAGGGCGCGUAGGCGGGCACACAAGUCGGAUGUGAAAACUAGCGGCUCAACCGCUAGCCUGCAUUCGAUACUGUGUGUCUUGAGUAUCGGAGAGGAGUGUGGAAUUCCAGGUGUAGCGGUGAAAUGCGUAGAUAUCUGGAAGAACACCGAUGGCGAAGGCAGCACUCUGGACGAAUACUGACGCUGAGGCGCGAAGGCUUGGGGAGCAGACAGG